rnacentral:piRNA from 1 species
UAAGAAUUCAGAAUAAAGGUGUCAAUUC